rnacentral:tRNA from 1 species
GGCGAGUUAGAGCAGAUGGUAGCUCGUAGGGCUCAUAACUCUAAGGUCGGCAGUUCGAGUCUGCCACUCGCUA